rnacentral:rRNA from 1 species
AGAAUCAACGCUGGCGGCGUGCCUAACACAUGCAAGUCGAACGCGAAAGCCCCGCAAGGGGUCAGUAGAGUGGCAAACGGGUGAGUAACACGUGGGUGACCUGCCUUCGAGUGGGGGAUAACGUCCCGAAAGGGACGCUAAUACCGCAUGACAUCCUGCCUUUGGAAAGGCGGAGAUCAAAGCUGGGGAUCGCAAGACCUGGCGCUUGAAGAGGGGCCCGCGCCUGAUUAGCUAGUUGGUAGGGUAACGGCCUACCAAGGCGACGAUCAGUA